rnacentral:lncRNA from 1 species
AUUCAGUCCCUCUAUCGUGAGUUCUCACUGGAUGGCAGAUCAUGGAUAAAUCAUCAAACCUUAACAUCAGUCAUAUGAUAGAUCCGAUCAGCUCAAGUCCAAUUGUGAUUUCUAUGAAAACUCCUUUCUAUCAAUCAUACUACUGUGGCCACAGAUUCUUGGACUUAGCUUCUCAAAUUUCAUAGGACUACUCCUCUCUAUCAAGGUCAAU